AACUCGAACAAGCACAAGCGCCCUGCAGCUCGGACGCUCAACAGCAAUUGGGCAGAGUUGCGCACGCUGCAUGUACACGAGGGUGGUUCAUGGUCUUAAGCGCAGGGGUGACAUCCGAUAACUUAGUUGUCCCAUGCUGGCUGUCUCACCAUCCGACUAAGAUAAUAACAGUGCCGUUCGCGUCAUUUAACUAGUGAGCUGCAGUUGUUUUGUGCGUUGCCACCAACUUUUUUUCCCUUGAAAAAUUAAAGAAGAAACCGUCAGGAUGGACGCAAAGGAAAAAUCGAAUUCAAAUCUAAAAGCGGAGAGCUAUAAAGGACAGAAAUCGUCUUCUUUCUUACAUUGUGGAGGAUUGCCAACAAUUUUGUGUGUCAUGAUGUCUAUUUGCUCGAUGGCGUUUUGCUUUAUGAUGACUUUCAAGACCUCUCAUCUGGAGCACAGAGUGCAUGUUUUGGAGAUGGAGCGACUUUCUCUGAUUCAUCCUUUACCUUCAGCACCGGAGCCAAAUGGAACAGUGUCGGCACUGCGGGAGACUAUCGAAAAACUUUUACAAGAGAGAUUUAAUACCAUGAUGCCCAGACUUCGCACAGCGAGGGAGGCAGAGGCGGCAUGUUCCUGUCCACCAGGGCCUCCUGGGAAGCGUGGUAGAAGAGGCAAUCCUGG